ensembl:lncRNA
ACUAGCUUCACAACAACAAAAACUAGCUUUUUUGUCUCCCAAGUUGUUUUCAAAAGGCUUCCUCUCAGAACCAGAAAGAGAUUUAUUGCCAAAUAAGUUGCACAACAAACAAGGAAUUUGUGCUGGCCGUUGGUGCAACAAUUUAUACAAAAGGGACAGAGAAGUAAAAACAAAUGAGAACAGUGGACUGAGCAUAAAAAUAGUAGACUGUUCAUUAAUAAAUUACAAAAAAUAACUAAAAAGUAUAUGUAAAGUGCAAGACUUUGUCCAAUUGAAGGUUGUGUGUGUAUGUGGGGAGGGGUUAUAGAUUUGUCUAGUUGAGGGUUGUGUGUGUAUGUGGGGAGGGGUUAUAGAUUUGUUUAGUUGAGGGGUGUGUGUGUAUGUUGGGAGGGGUUAUAGAUUUGUCUAGUUGAGGGUUGUGUGUGUAUGUUGGGAGGGGUUAUAGAUUUGUUUAGUUGAGGGGUGUGUGUGUAUGUGGGGAGGGGUUAUAGAUUUGUUUAGUUGAGGGGUGUGUGUGUAUGUGGGGAGGGGUUAUAGAUUUGUUUAGUUGGGGGGUGUGUGUGUAUGUGGGGAGGGGUUAUAGAUUUGUUUAGUUGAGGGUUGUGUGUGUAUGUGGGGAGGGGUUAUAGAUUUGUUUAGUUGAGGGUUGUGUGUGUAUGUGGGGAGGGGUUAUAGAUUUGUUUAGUUGAGGGUUGUGUG